UUGAACGCUGGCGGCAGGCUUAACACAUGCAAGUCGAGCGGUAGCACAGGGGAGCUUGCUCCCUGGGUGACGAGCGGCGGACGGGUGAGUAAUGUCUGGGAAACUGCCUGAUGGAGGGGGAUAACUACUGGAAACGGUAGCUAAUACCGCAUAACGUCGCAAGACCAAAGAGGGGGACCUUCGGGCCUCUUGCCAUCAGAUGUGCCCAGAUGGGAUUAGCUAGUAGGUGGGGUAAUGGCUCACCUAGGCGACGAUCCCUAGCUGGUCUGAGAGGAUGACCAGCCACACUGGAACUGAGACACGGUCCAGACUCCUACGGGAGGCAGCAGUGGGGAAUAUUGCACAAUGGGCGCAAGCCUGAUGCAGCCAUGCCGCGUGUGUGAAGAAGGCCUUCGGGUUGUAAAGCACUUUCAGCGAGGAGGAAGGUGGUGAGCUUAAUACGCUCAUCAAUUGACGUUACUCGCAGAAGAAGCACCGGCUAACUCCGUG
rnacentral:rRNA from 1 species